ACGAACGCUGGCGGCAUGCCUAACACAUGCAAGUCGAACGAGACCUUCGGGUCUAGUGGCGCACGGGUGCGUGACGCGUGGGAAUCUGCCUUUGGGUUCGGAAUAACAGUGAGAAAUUACUGCUAAUACCGGAUGAUGUCUUCGGACCAAAGAUUUAUCGCCCAAAGAUGAGCCCGCGUAAGAUUAGCUAGUUGGUGAGGUAAAGGCUCACCAAGGCGACGAUCUUUAGCUGGUCUGAGAGGAUGAUCAGCCACACUGGGACUGAGACACGGCCCAGACUCCUACGGGAGGCAGCAGUGGGGAAUAUUGGACAAUGGGCGAAAGCCUGAUCCAGCAAUGCCGCGUGAGUGAUGAAGGCCUUAGGGUUGUAAAGCUCUUUUACCAGGGAUGAUAAUGACAGUACCUGGAGAAUAAGCUCCGGCUAACUCCGU
rnacentral:rRNA from 1 species